GGCCGCGGGAAUUCGAUUCAGGCCUAACACAUGCAAGUCGAGCGGUAGAGAGAAGCUUGCUUCUCUUGAGAGCGGCGGACGGGUGAGUAAUGCCUAGGAAUCUGCCUGGUAGUGGGGGAUAACGUUCGGAAACGGACGCUAAUACCGCAUACGUCCUACGGGAGAAAGCAGGGGACCUUCGGGCCUUGCGCUAUCAGAUGAGCCUAGGUCGGAUUAGCUAGUUGGUGAGGUAAUGGCUCACCAAGGCUACGAUCCGUAACUGGUCUGAGAGGAUGAUCAGUCACACUGGAACUGAGACACGGUCCAGACUCCUACGGGAGGCAGCAGUGGGGAAUAUUGGACAAUGGGCGAAAGCCUGAUCCAGCCAUGCCGCGUGUGUGAAGAAGGUCUUCGGAUUGUAAAGCAAUGUAAGUUGGGAGGAAGGGCAGUUACCUAAUACGUGAUGUUUUGACGUACCGACAGA
rnacentral:rRNA from 1 species